UGAGACNCGGCCCAGACUCUUACGGGAGGCAGCAGUGGGNAAUAUUGACAAUGGGCGCAAGCCUGAUCCAGCCAUGGUCGCGUGUGUGAAGAAGGCCUUAUGGUUGUAAAGCACUUUAAGCGAGGAGGNGGCUACUUUAGNNUAAUACCUAGAGAUAGUGGACGUUACUCGCAGAAUAAGCACCGGCUAACUCUGUGCCAGCAGCCGCGGUAAUACAGAGGGUGCAAGCGUUAAUCGGAUUUACUGGGCGUAAAGCGCGCGUAGGCGGCUAAUUAAGUCAAAUGUGAAAUCCCCGAGCUUAACUUGGGAAUUGCAUUCGAUACUGGUUAGCUAGAGUGUGGGAGAGGAUGGUAGAAUUCCAGGUGUAGCGGUGAAAUGCGUAGAGAUCUGGAGGAAUACCGAUGGCGAAGGCAGCCAUCUGGCCUAACACUGACGCUGAGGUGCGAAAGCAUGGGGAGCAAACAGGAUUAGAUACCCUGGUAGUCCAUGCCGUAAACNAUGUCUACUAGCCGUUGGGGCCUUUGAGNCUUUAGUGGCGCANCUAACGCGAGAAAUAGACCGCCUGGGGAGUACNGNUCGCAAGACUAAAAACUCAAAUGAAUUGACGGGGGCCCGCACAAGCGNUGGAGCAUGUGGUUUAAUUCGAUGCAACGCGAAGAACCUUACCUGGCCUUGACAUAGUAAGAACUUUCCAGAGAUGGAUUGGUGCCUUCGGGAACUUACAUACAGGUGCUGCAUGGCUGUCGUCAGCUCGUGUCGUGAGAUGUUGGGUUAAGUCCCGCAACGGGCGCAACCCUUUUCCUUAUUUGCCAGCGAGUAAUGUCGGGAACUUUAAGGAUACUGCCAGUGACAAACUGGAGGAAGGCGGGGACGACGUCAAGUCAUCAUGGCCCUUACGGCCAGGGCUACACACGUGCUACAAUGGUCGGUACAAAGGGUUGCUACCUAGCGAUAGGAUGCUAAUCUNANAAAGCCGAUCGUAGUCCGGAUUGGAGUCUGCAACUCGNCUCCANGAAGUCGGAAUCGCUAGUAAUCGCGGAUCAGAAUGCCGCGGUGAAUACGUUCCCGGGCCUUGUACACACCGCCCGUCACNCCANCUGGAGUUUGUUGCACCAGAAGUAGCUAGCCUAACUGCAAAGAGGGCGGUUACNACGGUG
rnacentral:rRNA from 1 species